rnacentral:rRNA from 1 species
UCUGGGGAGGACUGCCGUGAUAAACCGGAGGAAGGCGGGGAUGACGUCAAGUCCUCAUGGCCCUUACAUCCCGGGCUACACACGUGCUACAAUGGCAGGUACAGAGGGCUGCGAAGCCGCGAGGUGGAGCGAAUCCCAGAAAACCUGUCUCAGUCCGGAUUGAAGUCUGCAACUCGACUUCAUGAAGGCGGAAUCGCUAGUAACCGCGAAUCAGCAGGUCGCGGUGAAUACGUUCCCGGGCCUU